UACAGAGGUCUCAAGCGUUGUUCGGAUUCAUUGGGCGUAAAGGGUGCGUAGGUGGCGCUGUAAGUCGGGUGUGAAAUUUCGGAGCUUAACUCCGAAACUGCAUUCGAUACUGCGGUGCUUGAGGACUGGAGAGGAGACUGGAAUUCAUGGUGUAGCAGUGAAAUGCGUAGAUAUCUGGAGGAACACCGGUGGCGAAGGCGGCAUCCUGGACCAACACUGACGCUGAGGAGCGAAAGCCAGGGGAGCAA
rnacentral:rRNA from 1 species